rnacentral:rRNA from 1 species
AGUGAACGCUGGCGGUAGGCCUAACACAUGCAAGUCGAACGGCAGCACAGUAAGAGCUUGCUCUUACGGGUGGCGAGUGGCGGACGGGUGAGGAAUACAUCGGAAUCUACUUUUUCGUGGGGGAUAACGUAGGGAAACUUACGCUAAUACCGCAUACGACCUACGGGUGAAAGCAGGGGAUCUUCGGACCUUGCGCGAUUGAAUGAGCCGAUGUCGGAUUAGCUAGUUGGCGGGGUAAAGGCCCACCAAGGCGACGAUCCGUAGCUGGUCUGAGAGGAUGAUCAGCCACGCUGGAACUGAGACACGGUCCAGACUCCUACGGGAGGCAGCAGUGGGGAAUAUUGGACAAUGGGCGCAAGCCUGAUCCAGCCAUACCGCGUGGGUGAAGAAGGCCUGCGGGUUGUAAAGCCCUUUUGUUGGGAAAGAAAAGCAGCAGGUUAAUACCCCGCUGUUCGGACGGGACCCAAAGAAUAAGCACCGGCGAACUUCGU